rfam:Trichuris muris Edinburgh genomic scaffold, scaffold36
GUUUUUGUAGCUCAGUGGUAGAGCGUCCGCUUUGCAUGCGGAAGCCCCGGGGUUCGAUCCCCCGCAACUCCA